AUGCCGUCAUGGCCCUACAGCAACGAGACCUCUGACGAUGACGAGUACAUGAGCGAGUUCAGUAGCAUGCAGAUGGAGUAUUUUCAAACUCCAGACACUGUGAUAGAUCCAAGCUUUUCUGGGUUUGUGACUGAAUCUGACUGUAGGUGCAUCCUGCAUAGGGAGAGGGCUGGCAAAUUUGUGGCAUUUGAAGGCACUGACACUGGCAGGAGAUUCGUAGGAUGUGCAACUGAGGAUGGUGUGAACUGUGGUGUUUUAGAGUGGGUAGAUGCCCCUUGGCCUGUAAUUUUGCAAAGGUGCUUAACCAAGCUCUGGAAUAUGUAUCAUGAAGAGAACCUUGGUAGAGUCCAAGACAAAGAGGCUCAUGAGAUAGAGGUUGAGAAACUGAAGAAGGAGCUGGAUUCUCUUGGCAAUCAGUACAAUCAGCUUGUGGAUGAUGUAUCCAAGCUGUUUGAUUACCAGGAUGGGCAGAAAUCCCAUGACAUGGAUUACACAAGCCAGGCAAUCAAUGAACUUAAGGAGAAGAAGCAUCAGCUUGAGGAGCAGGCAAAGAUUGAGAUUCAAAUGAAGAAGCUUAAGCUCAAGAAAGAACAGAGGUGCAUCCUGCAGAGUCAAGCUGAUAUCAUUCAAAACACCAGGAAAGCCAUGAAGGAGAUACAAGUUGAGAGAGACCUCCUUAAAGAAGAGAAGAAGAAGCUGGAGCAUAUCAUUGCUGAGCUCUUGAAGGCAGGUCAUGGGUGCAAAGAAAAGCUAGACAAGAUCAAAGAAGUUGUCAUGGAGGAGUGA
rnacentral:rRNA from 1 species